GUAGCAUAAUAAUUUGUGUUUUAAAUGGGCACUUGUAUAAACGGUUUAACAUUGUUAAUUUUUCUUUUUUUUAAAAAAUGAAUUUAGAGUAAAAGUAAAAAUACUUUUGUUUUCUAGAGAGACGAUAAGACCCUAAAAGCUUUAUUUACUAACCUAUUUUUUAUAUCAGAAAAGGUUUUAUAGUUUUAACUGGGGUAGUUAUGUUUUUUUAAAUUAAAAAAUAACUGAUUAAGGUUGAAUGACCCUUUUAAUAAAGGUUUUUGUUUUAGUUACUUUAGGGAUAACAGCGUUAUAAAAUUAAAGAGACCUUAUCUCCAAUUUUGAUUGCGACCUCGAUGUUGAAUUAACAAAUCCGCGAGAGGCAGUUCUCACGAAGGAGGGUUUGUUCAACCCUUAAUUUGUU
rnacentral:rRNA from 1 species